CCAACGGCUCUUUUAAGAGCCACCUAAGCAUUUCAGGCAAAGAGCUG
rfam:Nomascus leucogenys chromosome 8, whole genome shotgun sequence.